rnacentral:lncRNA from 1 species
CUGAAAAACCAUUUUAGGUUGUAGAUAGAAAAAAAGGUGCUAAGACUGUAUGGUUUCUCAGGAAUCCUGUCCUGUGAUUAUUACAAUGAUUUAAAAUGUUGUUUUUAGUUGUUCUGCUGUUAUAAGUUGUUUUACAUUCUAUGAUGAAUUCUACUGUUGCUCGUAUUAUAAUGAUUAUCUCCUUUUUCUUCGUUUAAUGACACUUCAGCAAUUGGUUUUCAAUGCAUUAACUGCGUAUGAGUAACAUUGUGGUAUUUAUAUGUAAACAUACAUGUAGUCUGUUAUCGUGUGUGUUGACACUCACUGACGCAAACCUCCCGUUCUACGGGAUUAUACCGUUGAAAUUGAAAAGGGAUUUGAUUAGUUAAGAUCAGACAUUCAGAUUAGUUCCAUGGUGAUUAUUCCACACUUUAUUGACCCAUCAUUGACCCGUUGUUAUUGUUCAGAAUAAGAGCUGGACAAUCUCUCACCGUCAGUACUUAUUUUGGGUUCAAACAAUGUAUAAAUGGCAACCAUUUCAAUACGGCAGGUUGUAUUCGUCAGAUUUUUUGCUCUUAUUUAAUUCAUCCAGAUGCUUUCUUACUCAUCAGAGUCAGGCGGUUUGAGGCGGAUCUCAGGGCUGGUGUUGGGAGAGCAGUUCUGGGACUCAGGGUGUCUGGACCUGGGCAGCUGCUGGUUCUGAUCUGGGAUCCAUGAUGUAGCCCUGUCUCAGAUAGACAGGCAGGCAGAGCCAAGAGGAAAGGAGAGGAGAGGCUCUUUGUACUGGAUUGAUUUUCUCCUCUGCCGCCCUGCCUUCUUUUGUGGUUCGAUAGCUGGAUGUCCAUGGGCAGAGGAUCUCUCAGCUGCAGAGGGAGCUACAGGAGAGCCAACUGGAGCUCCAGAGGGGACACAGCCGAAGAGAGCAGCAGCAGAGGGACCUGCAGACCCAGACACAGCAGGCAGAGGAGCUCCACACUCAGCUGGCUGAGGUCAAAGGGCGUCUUGUGCAGGUGGAGGGAGAAAAUGUGGCGCUCAUGGGAUAUAAGCUGGAGCUGAGAGCCGAGGUGGAAAGGCUGGCAGCGGUGGUGUAUUCUCUGCAGAGCUCUGUCAGGAUCAGAGGGCACAGAGAGUGCCCAGGCCUAGCGGAGGUAUGUGGACCUGGAGGGGGAGCUGACAGAGACCCAUGCCCAGCUCACGGAGUGCCAGGACAGGCUACAGGAAGCCAGGAGGAGGGCUGAGGAGCAGACCCAAAAGUUCCAGGACACGGUGUCCAGUCUGAAGAGCCAGCAUGGCUGUGUUAGUCAGCAGACGCACCAGCCCCAUCCUGCUCCAGCAGCCCCAUCCUGCUCCAGCAGCCCCAUCCUGCUCCAGCAGCCCCAUCCUGCCCCACCAGCCCCAUCCUGCUCCAGCAGCCCCAUCCUGCUCCAGCAGCCCCAUCCUGCCCCACCAGCCCCAUCCUGCUCCAGCAGCCCCAUCCUGCCCCACCAGCCCCAUCCUGCUCCAGCAGCCCCAUCCGGCUCCAGCAGCCCCAUCCUGCUCCACCAGCCCCAUCCUGCUCCAGCAGCCCUAUCCUGCUCCACCAGCUCCAUCCUGCCCCACCAGCUCCAUCCUGCUCCAGCAGCCCCAUCCUGCCCCACCAGCCCCAUCCUGCUCCAGCAGCCCUAUCCUGCUCCACCAGCUCCAUCCUGCCCCACCAGCUCCAUCCUGCUCCACCAGCUCCAUCCUGCCCCACCAGCUCCAUCCUGCCCCAGCAGCUCCAUCCUGCCCCACCAGCCCCAUCCUGCUCCAGCAGCCCUAUCCUGCUCCACCAGCUCCAUCCUGCCCCACCAG